rnacentral:rRNA from 1 species
GUCCACGCCGUAAACGAUGAGCACUAGCUGUCGGGGGUAUCGACCCCCCGGUAGCGCAGCUAACGCGAUAAGUGCUCCGCCUGGGGACUACGGCCGCAAGGCUAAAACUCAAAGGAAUUGACGGGGCCCGCACAAGCAGCGGAGCGUGCGGUUUAAUUCGAAGCUACGCGAAGAACCUUACCAGGGCUUGACAUGCACGGGACAGCCGGUGAAAGCCGGUCUCCUUCGGGUCCGUGCACAGAUGCUGCAUGGCUGUCGU